rnacentral:rRNA from 1 species
UACAGAGGGGGCAAGCGUUAUUCGGAAUUAUUGGGCGUAAAGGGCGCGUAGGCGGCUUUGCAAGUGGCGGGUGAAAUCCCUCGGCUUAACCGAGGAACUGCCUGUCAAACUGCAUGGCUUGAGACCAGGAGAGGUGAGUGGAAUUCCCAGUGUAGCGGUGAAAUGCGUAGAUAUUGGGAGGAACACCAGUGGCGAAGGCGGCUCACUGGCCCGGUACUGACGCUGAGGUGCGAAAGCGUGGGGAGCAAACAGG